AUUGAACGCUGGCGGCAUGCUUUACACAUGCAAGUCGAACGGUAACAGGCCUUCGGGCGCUGACGAGUGGCGAACGGGUGAGUAAUGCAUCGGAACGUGCCCAGUCGUGGGGGAUAACUAUCCGAAAGGAUAGCUAAUACCGCAUACGAUCUGCGGAUGAAAGCGGGGGACCUUCGGGCCUCGCGCGAUUGGAGCGGCCGAUGUCAGAUUAGGUAGUUGGUAGGGUAAAGGCUCACCAAGCCAACGAUCUGUAGCUGGUCGGAGAGGACGACCAGCCACACUGGGACUGAGACACGGCCCAGACUCCUACGGGAGGCAGCAGUGGGGAAUUUUGGACAAUGGGCGCAAGCCUGAUCCAGCAAUGCCGCGUGCAGGAAGAAGGCCUUCGGGUUGUAAACUGCUUUUGUACGGAACGAAACGGCUCUGGUUAAUACCCGGGGCUAAUGACGGUACCGUAAGAAUAAGCACCGGCUAACUACGUGCCAGCAGCCGCAGUAACAC
rnacentral:rRNA from 1 species